rnacentral:rRNA from 1 species
CAGCUCGUUCCCUGACCGUGGCAAUAAAGAGGCCCGAGACUGGGCUUCGUCGUCUCCUCCCAAAUGGUAGCGUGUGAAGAAGCGUUGGCAGGGGUACGGUUAAUUGCGGGCGCACGGACUGACUCCGUGGCCUGGCGACUCACCGACCUCGUUGGCUGCGCAAGGCACGCGGGAGUGCAGUGACGGUUUGCGGCGAGUAGAUCGGUCACCCACCUGACCCGUCUUGAAACACGGACCAAGGAGUGC